AGGGCGCAGGGCGAAUGCCUUGGCACUGGGAGCCGAUGAAAGACGUGAUAAGCUGCGAAAAGCUUCGGGGAGCUGCAAAUAAGCAUUGAUCCGGAGAUUUCUGAAUGAGGAAACUCACCUGGGUUCAUACUCAGGUACGUUACACUGAAAUUCAAAAUAGGUGUAUCGAGGGAACCGCCUGAACUGAAACAUCUAAGUAGGGCGAGGAAGAGACAUCAAACGAGAUUCCGUAAGUAGUGGCGAGCGAACGCGGAAGAGGGCAAACCGGGAGUCGAAAGACUUCCGGGGUACGGAGCGCAUUUAAGACUUAAGUUGUUAACCGAACGGCAUGGGAAGGCCGGUCAGAGAGUGUGAGAACCACGUAGGUGAAAGCGACGAGAGCUGAGCGAUUUCCAGAGUACGGCCAGACACGUGAAACCUGGUCGGAAGAUGGGGGGACCACCCUCCAACCCUAAAUACUACCCAGUGACCGAUAGCGUAUAGUACUGUGAAGGAAAGGUGAAAAGCACCCCGGGAGGGGAGUGAAAGAGAACCUGAAACCCUGUGCCUACAAGCACCUAGAGCACGUCAAUGUGUGAUAGGGUACUUUUUGUAGAACGGUCCGGCGAGCGAUUGUAUGCAGCAAGGUUAAGGUCUUAAGGACUGGAGCCGAAGCGAAAGCGAGUUUGAAAAGGGCGUUAAGUUGCAUAUAAUGGGCCCGAAACCGGGUGACCUACCCAUGGUCAGGUUGAAGUGGAAGUAAAAUUCCAUGGAGGACCGAACCGACCUCCGUUGAAAAGGCGGCGGAUGAACUGUGGGUAGCGGAGAAAUUCCAAUCGAACCCGGAGAUAGCUGGUUCUCCCCGAAAUAGUUUUAGGACUAGCCUCAGGUUAGAUAUCUGGAGGUAAAGCACUGAAUAGCCUAGCGGCCGAGAGGUUAGCGAAGCUUAUCAAACUCAGAAUGCCAGAAUAUUGAUGCCUGGGAGUCAGACAGUGUCAGAUAAAUGUCAUUGUCAAAAGGGAAACAGCCCAGAUCUACAGCUAAGGUCCCAAAGUCAGGUUAAGUGGAAAACGAUGUGAAGAUACGCAGACAACCAGGAUGUUGGCUCAGAAGCAGCCACUCAUUCAAAGAGUGCGUAAUAGCUCACUGGUCGAGCGUCUUUGCGCGGAGAAUUUAACGGGGCUAAACCUGGCACCGAAGCUUAGGCAAUGUAGUGAUACAUUGGGUAGGGGAGCGUUGUAUACGCGGUGAAACAGUAGCGCAAGCGGCUGUGGAGUGUAUAGAAGUGAGAAUGCCGGAAUGAGUAGCGCGAAUGCAGUGAGAAUCUGCAUGGCCGAAAGCCUCAGGUUUUUGGAGGAAGGUUCGUCCGCUCCAAGUUAGUCGGGAGCUAAGGUGAGGCCGAAAGGCGUAGCCGAUGCACAGACGGUAGAGAUUCCGUCACCACCAAAAGAGUUAAGCACAGGGACACAUUUGAAGUCUCAGAGCCGGGUGUUGGUUCCGGUAGAGAUCGAGGGAAGUUAGUACCGAAGUCUGGGAUGGAAGAUGGCGAGAAAAGCUGUGUGUAUUUCUGAGGUGCCCGUACCGCAAACCGACACAGGUAGGUAGGAAGAAGAUUCUAAGGCCAACGGGAGAAGGGUUGUUAAGGAACUCGGCAAAUUGACCCCGUAACUUCGGGAGAAGGGGUGCUCCAGAGAUGGAGCCGCAGAGAAUCGGCCCAAGCAACUGUUUACCAAAAACACAGGUUUGUGCUAAAUCGAAAGAUGACGUAUACGAGCUGACGCCUGCCCGGUGCUGGAAGGUUAAGAGGAGAUGUGCAAGCAUUGAAUCGAAGCCCCAGUGAACGGCGGCCGUAACUAUAACGGUCCUAAGGUAGCGAAAUUCCUUGUCAGGUAAGUUCUGACCCGCACGAAAGGCGUAACGAUUUGGGCGCUGUCUCAGCUGUAGACUCGGUGAAGUCUUAGUACCUGUGAAGAUGCAGGUUACCCGCGACUAGACGGAAAGACCCCAUGGAGCUUCACUGCAGGUUGAUAUUGGGAUUUGAUGCAGCAUGUACAGGAUAGGUAGGAGGCAAAGAGAUGGAUACGCCAGUAUUCAAGGAGCCGCUGUUGGGAUACUACCCCUGUUGUAUUGGAUUUCUAACCGGACGACGUAGAGCCGUUGACGGGACAGUGUCAGUCGGGCAGUUUGACUGGGGCGGUCGCCUCCCAAAGAGUAACGGAGGCGCCCAAAGAUACCCUCAGCUUGGAUGGAAACCAAGCGCAGAGUGCAAAGGCAAAAGGGUGUUUGACUGCGAGACCCACAAGUCGAGCAGGGACGAAAGUCGGGCUUAGUGAUCCGGCGGUGCUGAAUGGAAAGGCCGUCGCUCAACGGAUAAAAGCUACCCUGGGGAUAACAGGCUGAUCUCCCCCAAGAGUUCACAUCGACGGGGAGGUUUGGCACCUCGAUGUCGGCUCAUCGCAUCCUGGAGCUGAAGUCGGUUCCAAGGGUUGGGCUGUUCGCCCAUUAAAGCGGUACGCGAGCUGGGUUCAGAACGUCGUGAGACAGUUCGGUCCCUAUCUGUCGUGGGCGCAGGAAAUUUGAGAAGAGCUGUCCUCAGUACGAGAGGACCGGGAUGGACGCAUCAAUGGUGGACCAGUUGUCACGCCAGUGGCAUAGCUGGGUAGCUAAAUGCGGAAGGGAUAAACGCUGAAGGCAUCUAAGUGUGAAACCCACUUCAAGAUGAGAUUUCCCAUUGC
rnacentral:rRNA from 1 species